GGCUCAGAGCGAACGUUAGCGGCGGGCCUAACACAUGCAAGUCGAACGCGAAAGGUCUUCGGACUGAGUAGAGUGGCGCACGGGUGAGUAACACGUAGGUAAUCUACCCUUUGGCGGGGGAUAACGUUCCGAAAGGAGCGCUAAUACCGCAUAAGACCACGUGGUCUCCGGACCGAGUGGGAAAAGGUGGCCUCUUCUUGAAAGCUACCACCGAAGGAUGAGCCUGCGUCCCAUCAGCUAGUUGGUAAGGUAAUGGCUUACCAAGGCAAAGACGGGUAGCUGGUUUGAGAGAAUGAUCAGCCACACUGGCACUGGAACACGGGCCAGACUCCUACGGGAGGCAGCAGUGAGGAAUAUUGGGCAAUGGGCGAAAGCCUGACCCAGCCACGCCGCGUGAGUGAUGAAGGCCCUCGGGUCGUAAAGCUCUGUGGAGAGGGACGAAAACCCUGGUUUCAAAUAGGCUCCAGGCUUGACGGUACCUCUUUAGCAAGCACCGGCUAACUCUGUG
rnacentral:rRNA from 1 species